AUGUGUUUGAUUCCGCCUCCGUGAAUUUCGAAGGGAAACCCCGCUUGCAGGGCUUUACAAUUUGCAUCCCCUCAGUCUCUCUCUCAAAAUGGCGAAUCAACACCAUUCAUCGUCGUCGCGGCCAUCGCUCCUCGAGGCAGUACCUCUCAUGGUCGUUGUCCUGAUAGCAGCUCAUGUCCUCGCUUUGGUAUACUGGAUUUACAGACUAGCCUCCGAGAAACAGCCUCAGAGGAGAAAGGCACACUAAGGAACACUUCAAUUUUGAUGCACAGAAGAUGAAGAAGGUUGGUAAAACCCUAAUUCGUAGUUUACUCUAAAAAUACAAAAUAAUGGCAACGAUUUUUUGUUAGUAUAAUUCGUUGGCAGUGCCCAUUUUUUUUAAGGAAACAUACACACUCAACAACAAAUUUUGAAUUUUCAUAAUCAGUGUAAGUAUUCAAUUGCUUGGUAUGUAAAUAGGCUUUGAUCUGGUGUCAAUCGAUGGCUCAUACGGUUUAAGCGAAGCUAACUGAUACUGAUCCGGGUGGUUCUUCGGUCUUGGUUGCUGAAAACUUGAAAUUGUCAGAGGACUUCUUUUCUUCUUGCAGUUUAAGGAAGUAGUUGCUGUAACAUUCUCCUGUUAGCCGGUGUUGCAUCUCCUUGUUUCUUCUUUCAUUGUGUAGGUUCUGUUUGGUUGCUGAGAAAAUUAGAACAAGAACAAACUACUAGCUUCUUUUGCGCAGUCGUAGAUAUACAUUUCCUACAGUAGCUCUACUCCGGGCUCGGUUUGGUUGCCUUGGAAAUGUAAGGGAAAAAAAAAAGGAAAGGGCACUCGCACGAAUGCUGUUCUUUAUUCGAAUUUCA